UACCCCGGUAGUCCUAGCCGUAAACGAUACUCGCUAGGUGUCGGCCACGGUGCGACCGUUGUCGGUGCCGUAGGGAAGCCGUGAAGCGAGCCACCGUGGGAAGUACCGGCCGCAAGGCUAGAAAACUUAAAGGAAUUGGCGGGGGAGCACCACAACGGGUGGAGCUUGCGGUUUAAUUGGAUUCAACGCCGGAAAUCUUACCGGGACCGACAGCAACAUGAAGGCCAGGCUGAAGACUUUGCCGGAUUAGCUG
rnacentral:rRNA from 1 species